rnacentral:tRNA from 1 species
GGGAAUGUGGCUUAGUGGUACAGUGCUUGCCUAUUAUGCAUGAACCCUUGGGUUCAAUUCCUCAGUACCA